AAUGGAUAUAUUUCUUCUAAUGUCGUUGGCUUUACCUUUAUGUUUGUUUUCCUCAAACCUCAUGAUCUGAAAUCUGAAUACAUGUUCUGUCUUAGUUCUUUGUUUUGAUAUAAUUUGUUGUCAUUUUGUUCUAGUCCUUUGUUCUACUCUCUGCCGCUGAUCUCAAGUCAUUUUGCAUAAGUGUCUUCCCUAUUAUUAUUUUUUGUUGUCUAAUUACGUACUUAUCUAUUUGACAGUCUUGCAGCUAUAGCUAGGAAGA
rnacentral:misc_RNA from 1 species